rnacentral:lncRNA from 1 species
AUGUUCAAGCUGGUUUUAGAAAAAGCAGAGGAACCAGAGAUCAAAUUGCCAACAUCUGCUGGACACGGAAAAAGCAAGAGAGUUCCAGAAAAACUUCUAUUUCUGCUUACUGACUAUGCCAAAGCCUUUGACUGUGUGAAUCACAAUAAACUGUGGAAAAUUCUUCAAGAGAUGGGAAUACCAGACCACCUGACCUGCCUCUUGAGAAAUCUGUAUGCAGGUCAGGAAGCAACAGUUAGAACUGGACAUGGAACAACAGACUGGUUCCAAAUAGGAAAGGGAGUGCAUCAAGGCCGUAUAUUGUCACCCUGCUUAUUUAACUUCUAUGCAGAGUACAUCAUGAGAAACGCUGGCCUGGAAGAAACACAAGCUGGAAUCAAGACUGCCGGGAGAAAUAUCAAUAACCUCAGAUAUGCAGAUGACACCACCCUUAUGACAGGAAGUAAAGAGGAACUAAAAAGCCGUUUGAUGAAAGUGAAAGAGGAGAGUGAAAAAGUUGGUCUAAAGCUCAACAUUCAGAAAAGGAAGAUCAUGGCAUCCAGUCCCAUCACUUCAUGGGAAAUAGGUGGGGAAACAGUGGAAACAGUGUCAGACUUUAUUUUUGGGGGCUCCAAAAUCACUGCAGAUGGUGAUUGCAGCCAUGAAAUUAAAAGACCCUUACUCUUUGGAAGAAAAGUUAUGACCAACCUAGAUAGCAUAUUCAAAAGCAGAGACAUUACUUUGCCUACUAAGGUCCGUCUAGUCAAGGCUAUGGUUUUUCCAGUGAUCAUGUAUGCAUGUGAGAGUUGGACUGUGAAGAAGGCUGAGUGCCGAAGAAUUGAUGGUUUUGAACUGUGGUGUUGGAGAAGACUCUUGAGAGUCCCUUGGACUGCAAGGAGAUCCAACCAGUCCAUUCUAAAGGAGAUCAGCCCUGGGAUUUCUUUGAAAGGAAUGAUGCUAAAGCUGAAGCUCCAGUACUUUGGUCACCUCAUGCGAAGAGUUGACUCAUUGGUAAAGACUGUGAUGCUGGGAGGGAUUGGGGGCAGGAGGAGAAGGGGACGACAGAGGAAGAGAUGGCCGGAUGGCAUCACGGACUCGAUGGACGUGAGUCUGAGUGAACUCUGGGAGAUGGUGAUGGACAGGGAGGCCUGGUGUGCUGCAGUUCAUGGGGUCGCAAAGAGUCGGACACGACUGAGUGACUGA